AUUGAACGCUGGCGGCAGGCCUAACACAUGCAAGUCGAGCGGAUGAAGGGAGCUUGCUCCUGGAUUCAGCGGCGGACGGGUGAGUAAUGCCUAGGAAUCUGCCUGGUAGUGGGGGAUAACGUCCGGAAACGGGCGCUAAUACCGCAUACGUCCUGAGGGAGAAAGUGGGGGAUCUUCGGACCUCACGCUAUCAGAUGAGCCUAGGUCGGAUUAGCUAGUUGGUGGGGUAAAGGCCUACCAAGGCGACGAUCCGUAACUGGUCUGAGAGGAUGAUCAGUCACACUGGAACUGAGACACGGUCCAGACUCCUACGGGAGGCAGCAGUGGGGAAUAUUGGACAAGGGGCGAAAGCCUGAUCCAGCCAUGCCGCGUGUGUGAAGAAGGUCUUCGGAUUGUAAAGCACUUUAAGUUGGGAGGAAGGGCAGUAAGUUAAUACCUUGCUGUUUUGACGUUACCAACAGAAUAAGCACCGGCUAACUUCGUG
rnacentral:rRNA from 1 species